rnacentral:rRNA from 1 species
UACGUAGGGUGCAAGCGUUAAUCGGAAUUACUGGGCGUAAAGCGCGUUCAGGCGGUUUGGCAAGUCGGGCAUGAAAUCUCUCGGCUCAACCGGGAGAGGUUGUCCGAUACUUCCAGACUUGAGGGCAGUAGAGGGUGGUGGAAUUCCGGGUGUAGUGGUGAAAUGCGUAGAUAUCCGGAGGAACACCAGUGGCGAAAGCGGCUACCUGGACUGCACCUGACGCUGACACGCGAAAGCUAGGGGAGCAAACAGG